AGUGAACGCUGGCGGUAGGCCUAACACAUGCAAGUCGAACGGCAGCACAGGAGAGCUUGCUCUCUGGGUGGCGAGUGGCGGACGGGUGAGGAAUACAUCGGAAUCUGCCCAGUCGUGGGGGAUAACGUAGGGAAACUUACGCUAAUACCGCAUACGACCUUCGGGUGAAAGAGGGGGAUCGCAAGACCUCUCGCGAUUGGAUGAGCCGAUGUCGGAUUAGCUAGUUGGCGGGGUAAUGGCCCACCAAGGCGACGAUCCGUAGCUGGUCUGAGAGGAUGAUCAGCCACACUGGAACUGAGACACGGUCCAGACUCCUACGGGAGGCAGCAGUGGGGAAUAUUGGACAAUGGGCGCAAGCCUGAUCCAGCCAUACCGCGUGGGUGAAGAAGGCCUUCGGGUUGUAAAGCCCUUUUGUUGGGAAAGAAAUCUUUCAGGCUAAUACCCUGGGAGGAUGACGGUGCCCAAAGAAUAAGCACCGGCUAACUUCGUG
rnacentral:rRNA from 1 species